CAGAACUGUUCUCUCUCGGUGUACCAUCAUUCAGAACUCUGAUCAUGCAUCAGACUGUUUUGCUGUAUUGGAACGUCCUUGUUUACCGGAGCACAUCUCCUCAGACACACUGGAAGUCUUUGUUCAGACAGCAGAUUGCCUCAUCAUUCAUUGAUAAUGCUGCAAUUACUGAAAAACUUACCAUGUAGAGAGGCCAAGAUUCAGAAGAACCGGUCGUUAUCUACCGAUUUUCAGCCUCUCACAAACAGAAGGGUUGAACAGCUGGUGGUGUGGCGGUUGGUGCUCACUGGCAGGACUGCGUGCCUGAGAUGACUGAAUCAAGGAUAUUUGCUCUCACUGACAUCAUACUGAGCCAAAUGCAGAAAAAUCAAUCUGACACUCAUUUUUUAGUGUCGUCUGAAGAGUGAGAUUACUUAAAACUUUGUUCUUGUAUAAUACAAGCAUCCACCGCUGGACAGAAAAAUAAUCAAAUGUAUGGCAAAACAGACUGGCACUUACAUAGCACCUUUGUACUCAAUUUGAGUACUCAAAGGACUUUCUACUACACUGCAAUAAAAAACAAAAUGCAUUAUUUAUGUCUAAGAACUUUUAUCUAGCUCUUGAUCCACUCCAGUGGAUAUACCUGGGUUAACUUGAAGCUCUGUGUCUUACCCAAGGAUAUAUAGACACAGACAGGACGAACCAUGGAUCAAUCCGCCAACCUUCGGACUGGUAGUUGACCCGCUCUACCAUUUGAGCUACCUCCCGUAACAGAAGCUUUGCAAAAUGAAAACCAUGGAGCAUCUAUAGCUGAAACACUUAUAUUUUAUGUUCAAUGGUAGUUGAGGACAUAGGAGGUGACAACAACACAGCAAAUGAGAGCAUUUUGAGAAAUUGAUCUGAAACAUUUGUCACAGCAAAAGUAAAUUGUUCCCGUGUGCUCUUAGUUGGUACAGUUUGGACACUCAGGGCCUUCUGCUUUUUUCUCCACACAGGCUUGUGUUUUCUGUACUCUGCAAAAUCCAAUAACCAAGCAGGAGGCCUGCUAAUGAAGCUUGGGACAGUCAAUAAUGCCUCCUUCCCUGUAUUAAAAAGAAUAAAGCUAAUGAUGCCAA